UGUCCAUUCGUUUGAUGUGUUUUAUCAUUUGAAUUUGCCAUUUGAUUAGGGACUUUCCGUUUUGAAUUUUCCUCGGAGUUCAGUAUUUUGCAAUUUCACUUUUGACAUGAUCAGUAAAUACUGGCGAAAAAAAUCUUUAUGUGUAAAGAAUUGUCUCAUAAAAAUUAAAUACACGAGAAAUGGCAAAGUUCACGAAGUCUAG
rnacentral:lncRNA from 1 species